UCCUGAUUAGCUCAGUCGGUGGAGCAUGAGACUCUUAUUCCCAGGGCCGUGUGUUCAAGCUCCACAUUGGGCA